rnacentral:rRNA from 1 species
AUUGAACGCUGGCGGCAGGCCUAACACAUGCAAGUCGAGCGAGCGGCGGACGGGUGAGUAAUGUCUGGGAAACUGCCUGAUGGAGGGGGAUAACUUCUGGGAACGGUAGCUAAUAACGCAUACCAUCAGACUUGCCCAGAUGGGAUUAGCUAGUAGGUGGGGUAACGGCUCACCUAGGCGACGAUCCCUAGUUGGUCUGAGAGGCUGACCCGCCACACUGGAACGGCGACACGGGCCAGACUCCUAAGGGAGGCAGCAGUGGGGAAUAUUGGACAAUGGGCGCAAGCCUGAAGCAGCCAUGCCGCGUGAGUGAAGAAGGCCUUCGGGUUGUAAAGCACUUUCAGCGGGGAGGCGUUACCCACAGAGGAAGCAACGGCUAACUCCGUGCCAGCAGCCGCGGUAAUAC